rnacentral:rRNA from 1 species
AUUGAACGCUGGCGGCAGGCCUAACACAUGCAAGUCGAACGAGUGGCGGACGGGUUAGUAAUGUAUGGGACACUGCCUGAUGGAGGGGGAUAAAUACUGGACACUGUAGCUAAUACCGCAUACCAUCAGAUGUGCCCCGGUGGGAUUAGCUUGUUGUUGGGGUAACGGCUCACCAAGGCGACGAUCCCUAGCUGGUCUGAGAGGAUGACCAGCCACACUGGAACUGAGACACGGUCCAGACUCCUACGGGAGGCAGCAGUGGGGAAUAUUGGACAAUGGGCGAAAGCCUGAUGCAGCCAUGCCGCGUGUAUGAAGAAGGCCUUCGGGUUGUAAAGUACUUUCAGCGGGGAGGCGUUACCCGCAGAAGAAGCACCGGCUAACUCCGUGCCAGCAGCCGCGGUAAUUC